AUGCAGCCUGGGGGCGCGAAGACGCGGUUCGGCCGGUGCCCGUACUGCCGCGCCAUGAUCUGCCAGAGCAUCACCGCCGCCAUCUACUACUGCACCAAAUGCCGCACUCCGAUCCGAGGCAAGAACACGGAGCCGACGGAUGAUGAAACGGACAACGGUCUGAGCAGUCUGGAGAUCCUCUCGGCCGUGGACACCGAGUCGGUCUUCUCCGACGAGCUCGAGGGUUCCUCUACGCAGCCCUCGGUCAUCGACGUCGACGGCGACCAGCCUCCCUUCUCCUGCGGCUACAACUCCAAUUCCGAUGCCAACAGCCAGGGGAUUGCGGCUGCUUCCUCGCCGUCGCCGUACAGAGGCUUCGGUUCACCACGGGCCGGCACGCCUCGGAGCAAUAGCUGCGUACCUCGGGGCGUCGAAGACGGCCUCGUUGGCUCGGAUGGACAGGACGAGGUUCGAGUAGUUCGACCGGUGAACAGUCGCGUCGACGCGCUCCGGGCGUCGUCUCGGCGGACGAGGCGGGCGUCGAGCGCUUCCGACCCGAGCAUUCUGCGUCUACGGGACUUCUCUGUCUCCGAUCCCGAGCAGGCGUCAAGAAACGCGUCGACCGGGCAGCAGCUCCGGCAAUCAGCGCUGAGCUCUAGGGAGCUCAGGACGUCUGCCAGCGUGUCCGCUGCCACUGCGUCGCCCCUGACGGACCCGGCGUUCCAAAGGGACCUGCUGCACGCGCUGGACAAGCUCCGGGGCAUGAUCGCCAACAUCGAGCUGCAGCCGCGGUCGGCGAGCGGCGGGAGCGGGGCGGUGACGCGGCGCGACUCUCGUUUGUUCCGGCGGCUGGAGUCGCGGCUCGCGGAGGAGCUUCCCGCCGACGACGCUGCGGCACGUGGCCCGCGCCAGAACGGUUACUCGAGCACCGGCUCCGCCUCGUGGUCGUCGUCGGCGUCGUCGUCCAGCGGACGGGGCGAGCGGCGGGCGGCGAGGCCGCGGAGGAGGCGCCACUGCCUCCCGGUCCUGGGGGGCGCGCCGUUCGUCGUCUGCGGCGGGUGCUCCGAGCUUCUCCAUGCGCCCACGUCGGCGGUGCCGUCCAGGAGGAGGGGAAACGUCAGGCUGCGGUGCGGCGGGUGCGAGGAAGUGCUCGAGGUGGCGCUUCCCGCGGCCGCGGGUAUCGCUGGCCCGGCGCGCCAGACGAGCAGGGUGUCCGGGUCAGGUGAGCUGGAACGCGCGGCGAGCAGGAGCGGCGGCAAGCAGCAGAUGCCGUUGCUGCUGCACCGCGCGCUGGGGUACGACUCGAUGAGCCAGCUUCUGCAGAGCCGGCGGUACUAA
rnacentral:rRNA from 1 species